ensembl:lncRNA
CAGAAAAUGAAUAUACUAAGAGAGAGAUUGACAGUGUGAAAUCUACCACACCUACAGAAAUGGUCACUGUGCAGACUGAACAAGUUACGGUGUAUCUGACGAAGAAAGAGGAAGAGUCAGAUAAUCAGAGAUCUCCUGUAUCUCCAGAGGUUGCCACAGCAACAACAGAAAUUACUGCUAUGAAUAAAGGAAAGCUUUCACCACCCAAAAGAAAGUCAAAGAGUCGUAAAGCUUCCUCAGAACUUAUUAGUACGGAUUUGUCUGAGACUUUGAAAGAACCUGAAUCUGUGGGUUUCACCAAGGAAGCUAAAAUUACCACUUUGGAAAAACCUGAAUCACGCCAAACAAGGAAAUCUUCAAAGAGUCUUGUAGAGUCCAAGAAAAUAGAGAAAGAAACAGAAAUGGGAAACACAGCUUUAAAU